CUACCUCUAAGACCGCUUUAUCUGGGGAACCUGGCCGCCGGAGCAAAGCUAAGAGCCCAGAGAAGCAGGAGAGAACAGACUCCCCUGGACCCAGCUGUGUCUCCAUGAAGAGUGACCGCUCUAUGGAUCAUCCUUAUGUGGAAUUUAAAGAUGGAAUUCAGUCUAUUGAGAAGAGAAGAGUCCAGCAGGAGAGAACAGACUCCCCUGGGCCCAGCUGUGUCUCCAUGAGGAGUGGCCACUCUAUGGAAGAAAAUCAUAACUUUAUGGAUGGAAAUCAGUCUAUUGAGAAAAGAAGAGUCCAGCAGCAGAGAGCAGACUCCCCUGGACCCAGC